UACGGAAGGUGCAAGCGUUGUUCGGAAUGACUGGGCGUAAAGCGCACGUAGGCGGGUUUGUAAGUCGGAUGUGAAAGCCCCAGGCUCAACCUGGGAACAGCACUCGAAACUGCGAAUCUUGAAUGCUUGAGAGGUUGGUGGAAUUCCUGGUGUAGGAGUGAAAUCCGUAGAUAUCAGGAGGAAUAUCGGAGGCGAAGGCGGCCAACUGGCGAUGCAUUGACGCUGAGGUGCGAAAGCGUGGGGAGCAAACAGG
rnacentral:rRNA from 1 species